AAGCACUAUUUUACAAGCUGUUGUAAGGAGCCAAUAAUAUAAAAUCUGUGAAAGGGCUUUGUGAACUAUAAAACACAAAAUGUUAAUAGUUAUUAUUCAAGGAGCUCCAGGAAAGAAAAAUAAAAGGCAAACGCAACUCUCGAUUCCAGCAAGUUGUGGUCAGUUUUCUUUUUAGAACAAAUGGAAAUUGGGUAUGAGAAUCUUUCUGUAAGAAAUGCAAAAAUAACUCCUUUGACUUUCACAUCUUCCUGCUGAAAAGGCACACAUUUUAAAACUGAUCAUUUCUCUAGUUCUUAGGGCAAGAGGGAAUAGAAUUCUUUUUGUACUGUUUUAAUUUUCAACAAGGCAUGUUUAUGGUACCUAUCCCUUAGAGGGAAGAAAAAGAGCAAGGGAAAAAUGGUAUAUUUGUCCACCACCACCUGCUAUUUUUAGGUUGGCUAGGAGGUCCUAUUUGGCUGCCUUUGCCCAUCUCAUUUGGCAACUCUUGAGCGUGCAUCAUUCAGAAGAUAUAAGAAGCUUAGAAGGUAGAAAAGUGGAUUUCUUUGAUUUUUCAGACGACAUUGCUGAAAAACAUAUUACCACAGACAAUUUGAAGGACAUUGACUAUGUCAACUGAUGGGACCCCUUAAGCCAGAGGCAGAUCUCUCAGGGAAGAAGGCAUGAUUCCUGAUAUGGGCAAAGUGCUGGAUACCCAUAAUUGUGUUGUAACUUCUUCUGGCUAUAAACCUGAGCACUGAUGCUUGACCUAUUGUAAGUAAGAAAGUCAUAUAUGGGCCGGGUACAGUGGCUC
rnacentral:lncRNA from 10 species